GAGGCGAACCGGGGGAACUGAAACAUCUAAGUACCCCGAGGAAAAGAAAUCAACCGAGAUUCCGAAAGUAGCGGCGAGCGAAAUUGGACUAGCCCUUAAGCUUUACACGCGUUAGACGAACGGUCUGGAAAGUCCGACGAUACAGGGUGAUAGUCCCGUAGUUGACGACGUGUGUUCAGUGAAAUCGAGUAGGGCGGGACACGUGAUAUCCUGUCUGAAUAUGGGGGGACCAUCCUCCAAGGCUAAAUACUACUGACUGACCGAUAGUGAACCAGUACCGUGAGGGAAAGGCGAAAAGAACCCCUGUGAGGGGAGUGAAAUAGAACCUGAAACCGUGUACGUACAAGCAGUAGGAGCAGGCUUGUCCUGUGACUGCGUACCUUUUGUAUAAUGGGUCAGCGACUUAUAUUCAGUGGCAAGGUUAACCAUCUAGGGGAGCCGUAGGGAAACCGAGUCUUAACUGGGCGUUCAGUCUCUGGAUAUAGACCCGAAACCAGGUGAUCUAGCCAUGGGCAGGUUGAAGGUUGAGUAACAUCAACUGGAGGACCGAACCGA
rnacentral:rRNA from 1 species